AUGUUUGCUUCGGCAGCAUAUAUAUUAAAAUUGGAAUGAUGCAGAGAAUAUUACCAUGGCCUCUGUGCAAGGAUUACAGACAAAUUCUCGAAGGAUUCCAUAUUUUUU
ensembl:snRNA Gm23203 U6 spliceosomal RNA